GAGUUUCUGCUCCCUGCUCUGCUGUAGGUCAUGCAGUCCCCCUGCAUCCCCACACCUGGCACUCCCCUGACCCCUCCGUCAGCUGAUUCAACUCUCUACAGCGAGUGGCAUUUUUUAAAGGUGCAGAUGUUGGGAAAGAUCUUUCCAGAGUUCCCUUUCAGCAAGGCAGUAAGAUGUCCUUCAGAGCCUCGGACUUCAGGACUGAAGGCCAAGCAUCUGUCUCCAGAGAAGAAAUACCAAAAUCAGUGUGCGUAAUCUUACUGGCCUCCAGAAUUGGAAAGGUACAUCAGUUUCCAGCUACAAUCCUUCCUUGAAAGGGCAAGUAAAGCCAGUCAUAGUGACCUUCGGGAUCUGGACAUUCAUCUCAUCAGAACUGGGCUGCCAGAGUUGGCUGUGUGUGCCACCAGGCAGUUGUCAAGCAGCGAUGUGUCUGGUCACUAGUGACCGGGACUAUAUUUAAACCAAUGAACUAUAAUGGAAAGAUUUUCUCUUCUGCUGUCCCCUAAAACUACCUAAGAAACCUGAAGUUUCUUGAGAAAUUUCACUGACGUUAUCGAGCUUCAUCAAUGAUGAAGUUGAGGCAAACACGUUCGGUCAUUAGGUUUUCAUUCCUUAAUGGAAGUGGGUCACUGUCGUAAGCCCUCCCUCCCUCCUGUACUUUGCACUGUGCGCUAACUGUUGU